GGUUACUUUGGCAGCACACAGACAAAAUUAGAAUGAAACAGAGAAAAUUAGCCUGGCUCCUGAUCAAGGACAACACACAAAUUUGUGGAGUGUCCCAUAUUAAA